CGGUGAAUACGUUCCCGGGCCUUGUACACACCGCCCGUUAAGCCAUGGAAGCUGGGGGUACCUGAAGUCGGUGACCGCAAGGAGCUGCCUAGGGUAAAACUAGUAACUGGGGCU
rnacentral:rRNA from 1 species